GGUGGCUUCGUAUAGUGGUUAGUACAACACGUUGUGGUUAUCCAAUAAUAACUAAACGUUUCCGUGUAAACCUGGGUUCGAUUCCCAGAGCCGCCA